GUGACCUCAAAUCAGGUAGGACUACCCGCUGAACUUAAGCAUAUCAAUAAGCGGAGGAAAAGAAACUAACAAGGAUUCCCCUAGUAACUGCGAGUGAAGCGGGAAAAGCUCAAAUUUAAAAUCUGGCGGUCUUUUGGCUGUCCGAGUUGUAAUCUAGAGAAGUGUUAUCCGCGCUGGACCGUGUACAAGUCUCCUGGAAUGGAGCAUCAUAGAGGGUGAGAAUCCCGUCUUUGACAUGGACUGCCAGGGCUUUGUGAUGCGCUCUCAAAGAGUCGAGUUGUUUGGG
rnacentral:rRNA from 1 species